ACGGACAAACGGCUCUUCAUUGGGCAGCGAUGUAUGGGUUCGAUGAAAUUGUGGCAAAUUUGUUAGAAAAAGGUGCAGAUGUGGAUGCCAAGGAUGAGGUGAGGAUAGAUAUGUAUGUUGGCCCCUUGUCUAUUCUUGGUCUAUUUCGUGUCAUCCCAUUGAAUUUCACCAGACAUAAUGUAAAUAGGACAUUAGGAUAUACUGAUAUAUGUAUGUUUGUGCAGAUAUAGUCUAUCAUUACAUCUGUGUCACCUGUAUUGCAUCCAACAUGACUGAUGUAUGUACAUAAUGGACCCUAUUAAUACGGUCAACAAUUUAGGGCCAUUUAGUCGUGGUAACGGGGUAAUGGUGUUAAAACAGUCGUGCCCAUAUCUAGAUGUAUGGGAUAUUUGGAUCCAUGCAUCAUAUUAACUUCAUGAACGCGAUUGCAAAACGGUAAAAAACUAUGGCUGAAGAGACCAGACUAACACAACCAAAACUGUGUAUUGGUUGCGGGGAUUGAGGUUGCCAUUGUAUUUCAACCCUUUUGUUGCCGUAUGUAAAUUUAGCAAAUAAUAUGUAAGUAGUUUAAUAUUGGGAAUGGUUCUACUUAUAAAUGGGCGGAAUAGGUAGGUUUCGCUAAGCGCUGUCGUACAGAAGACGCAUGGUGGUCAAUCGGCAGUUAUCAGAGUGAGAAAAUGUUUUUAUCCAAUUGAAUAUAAUUGAGAAUUUUACCAUUAGUUAAAUAUUUCAUUCUCCAAUAUAUAAAUGUUAACCUUUCUGGAGUUGAAUGUCAUCUGCUGCCCAAUUACACUUACUGAAAUCCAACACUAUAUAUAGGGUACAUUGACUACAUUGGUCUGUUGGUGUUUCUAAAUCAAACCAUUGGCAGAAAUUUUGCAAAACAUUUAAGUUUCGUGUGUCAAUGGUGCAUGCCAAUUAAUAUUUUUGCGCGUGCUAUGCUUGUCACUGCAAAAUUGCAGUUGAAAUAAAGCCUAUCAAGGCUUUUAAGAUUUUUACAUUUUCUUUGUAGUACGGACAAACGGCUCUUCAUUGGGCAGCGUUGUAUGGGUUCGGUGAAAUUGUAGCAAAUUUGUUAGAAAAAGGUGCAGAAGUGGAUGCCAAGGAUGAGGUGAGGAUAGAUAUGUAUGUUGGCCCCUUGUCUAUUUUUGGUCUAUUUCGUGUCAUCCCAUUGAAUUUCACUAGACAUAAUGUAAAUAGGACAUUAGGAUAUAGUGAUAUAUGUAUGUUUGUGCAGAUAUAGUCUAUCAUUACAUCUGUGACACCUGUAUUGCAUCCAACAUGACUGAUGUAUGUACACAAUGGACCCUAUUAAUACGGUCAACAAUUUAGGGCCAUUUAGUCGUGGUAACGGGGUAAUGGUGUUAAAACAGUCGUGGCCAUAUCUAGAUGUGUGGGAUAUUUGGAUCCAUGCAUCAUCUUAACUUCAUGAACGCGAUUGCGAAACGGUAAAAAACUAUGGCUGAAGAGAUCAGACUAACACAACCAAAACUGUGUAUUGGUUGCGGGGAUUGAGGUUGCCAUUGUAUUUCAACUCUUUUGUUGCCGUAUGUAAAUUUAGAAAAUAAUAUGUAAGUAGUUUAAUAUUGGGAAUGGUUCUACUUAUAAAUGGGCGAAAUAGGUUGGUUUCGCCAGGUUUCGCUAAGCACUAUCGUACAGAAGACGCAUGGUGGUCAAUCGGCAGUUAUCAGAGUGAGAAAAUGUUUUUAUUCAAUUGAAUAUAAUUGAGAAAUUUACCAUUAGUUAAAUAUUACAUUCUCCAAUAUAUUAAUGUUAACCUUUCUGGAGUUGAAUGUCAUCUGCUGCCCAAUUACACUUACUGAAAUCCAACAUUAUAGGCUACAUUGACUACAUUGGUCUGUUGUUGUUUCUAAAUCAAACCAUUGGCAGAAAAUUUGCAAAACAUUUAAGUUUCGUGUGUCAAUGGUGCAUGCCAAUUAAUAUUUUUGCACGUGCUAUGCUUGUCACUGCAAAAUUGCAGUUGAAAUAAAGCCUAUCAAGGCUUUAAGAUUUUUACAUUUUCUUUGUAGGACGGACAAACGGCUCUUCAUUGGGCAGCGAUGUAUGGGUUCGAUGAAAUUGUGGCAAAUUUGUUAGAAAAAGGUGCAGAUGUGGAUGCCAAGGAUGAGGUGAGGAUAGAUAUGUAUGUUGGCCCCUUGUAUAGACUUGGUCUAUUUUG
rnacentral:lncRNA from 1 species